GUCUAUAUAGAUUAUUUGAUAAAUCGUGAUGCUGUUAACGUCAAGAGGGUGAGGCUACCUAUAGUCG
rnacentral:tRNA from 1 species